AUGGGAAAUAAUUUCAUGAGAGAAAUCAGGCAGGAAGUGACUACACUUGAGAUAGAAAAUCAAGGUCAAGAUAAGAAAAGUAAAGGUGUUCCAUUCACUUCUAAUCAGGAAAAUGAGAAUGUCAGUGGUUGUGAAGAAGUAUGCUACACUGUCAUUAAUCAUAGGCCCUAUCGGAGACCCUCCCUGAACUCCAGUGAUGAUGGUUACGAGAACAUCACAAAGAGAGUGAGACCAUUAAGAGAAGGGCCAGAAACAGAAUAUGCCCUUCUCAAGAAACCUUGCACUAUCAGGUCUUCUUCCUGUACAGCUGAGAAUGAUUACGAAAUUGUGCUUCCUCACUAGAAUACUCCUGCCUCAUCAUCUUCCAGUAAUAAAGAUGACCAAAUGGUGACCUCCA
rnacentral:lncRNA from 1 species